CCAGCGAAGAUGCCUCUGCCUCCAGGAAGCCCUCCCUGGCUCAGGAAAGGGCUAGGGCCACCUCUUUGCUUCCACAACCCUAGGAGCUGGCUCUAGCCCCCAGCACCAGUGCCUCCUGGUUGCUGGUGGCCUGACUUGGCAGCCUAGGCACCUUCACAGUGACCCGGGGUGUGCAGACUGCUAGGAGGGGGCAGGAGAGAAAGGACAGCACCCGAGAAGGGCUGAUUCCAGAAAGAUCCGAGGAGGCUUCUCUUGUGCCGGGGCCCCUUACCUGAAUGCCAUGGGGAAUGUUGUAGACUAUAAGGAUUGUCCCACAGUCCUCGUGGCCAGGGAGGGACACCUGGAACGUGAACACCUCCAUCUUCCCCCGGGGCUGGGUUCCAGUUUUCUCCCCAUAGAUGGUUUUGCAGGAAGGACACUGCAAGCUUCCAUCCUGGGACAAGGCAGAAUGCCGUGGACUGAGUCGGGGCCCCUGAGCGGGCACCCAGGCCAGCCACCCCGCUGGCUAGAUGGGAAAGAGGCCCACAGGGACACGGGUUUGGCCCCGAGUCACACAGUGGGUUCCAGGCGCAUUGCCCAACUCCCAGGCAGCCUCCUCACAAAGAAACUUGAUUCUAGAAGCUUCCUUGGAAAGAUAAGUUUUAACCCAGAAACUCAUGCCAUUUUCAUUAAAGGGACAAGGUACCCAGAGACUGGCAUCAGGUAAGAAAAUGAGGUUUAUGAGCAAAAGCUUGCACAGCCGAGUCAUGUUUAAGAUGAAAAAGAAAACCCUGUGAACGAGGGACUCAUAAGCUGGCAUCUUGGCUGGUACACGAUGGCACGGGGACACUGCGCAAAGGCCAGGCCCCGAGGCCCACCACGGGCCUUCGUUCUCUCCGUCCCCCUAACCUGUCCACUCCGGCUAAACUACACGAAAGGCAGGGCAGCCAGGCAUCGCCUGCCACCCCCAGGCCCAUCCUGCUGCAGGGCCAGGGCUGCAGACAUCUCAAGGCUGCCUCCGAGCAGGUCCUGGGCCUCUCACACGGCAGCCCCAGUCACCUGCUUAAGUGCAACAUGACAGGUACAGGCUGCGGGAAGGAGACCCCGACCCCCACCCCUGGCCCUGGUGGGCCAUGGGUACCUUGUUUCCGUUGCAGUACAUGGCCAGCAGGCAGAGCAGGUGGAAGGCGUGGCUGCACUUGGCCAAGCGGCCCACAGCCACCGGCCCAAAGGUCUUGCUGUCGGUCGCGUCGCUGUAGCCGGACGCCAUGGACAGCUUCUCCAUACAGAUGAUGCAGUCCUGGAGGGAGACCCAACCCGGGGAACGCUCACCCAUGGCCCCUGUGCCACAGCAGGCUGGGAGCACAGAGGGCUCACCGUCACCACAGCAGAGGAGACGGCAGGCGGCACCAAGCGUGGGGGCCGGUGUAACAACUGAAGCACAGGCGGAGAGGGCGGCCAGAACAGCCAGGCAGAGAGUUUGCAGGAGAAAGAGGCGCGAGAGUCCUCGGCUCUGGACUGGCACGAAUGACCUUGACCCCCGCCCCUCCAGAUUCUCCAGGACCCUCCACGCAAAUCGGAGAAAAGUGGUGCCACAGCCCCGAAGCGAGGCUCAGCAGAGAGAGGCCCAGGUGCAGCCGUGACGGGGGUCUGGCAGGCUGGGUUAGCCACAGGAACCCCGACCGGCCCUCCCAACAGCGGGGGGCAGGAUGGCUCUCUGGACGAGGCACCUUCCAGCG